GAUGAACGCUGGCGGCGUGCCUAAUACAUGCAAGUCGAGCGAACAGAUGAGGAGCUUGCUCCUCUGACGUUAGCGGCGGACGGGUGAGUAACACGUGGAUAACCUACCUAUAAGACUGGGAUAACUUCGGGAAACCGGAGCUAAUACCGGAUAAUAUAUUGAACCGCAUGGUUCAAUAGUGAAAGACGGUUUUGCUGUCACUUAUAGAUGGAUCCGCGCCGCAUUAGCUAGUUGGUAAGGUAACGGCUUACCAAGGCAACGAUGCGUAGCCGACCUGAGAGGGUGAUCGGCCACACUGGAACUGAGACACGGUCCAGACUCGUACGGGAGGCAGCAGUAGGGAAUCUUCCGCAAUGGGCGAAAGCCUGACGGAGCACCGCCGCGUGAGUGAUGAAGGUCUUCGGAUCGUAAAACUCUGUUAUUAGGGAAGAACACAUGUGUAAGUAACUAUGCACGUCUUGACGGUACCUAAUCAGAAAGCCACGGCUAACUACGUG
rnacentral:rRNA from 1 species